CAAAUGAAUUGACGGGGCCCGCACAAGCGGUGGAGCAUGUGGUUUAAUUCGACGCAACGCGAAGAACCUUACCAGGCUUGACAUCCCCUGACCGCGUAUGAAAGUACGUUUUCACCCUCGGGUGACAGGGAGACAGGUGGUGCAUGGUUGUCGUCAGCUCGUGUCGUGAGAUGUUGGGUUAAGUCCCGCAACGAGCGCAACCCCUACGUUUAGUUGCUAACGCGUGAAGGCGAGCACUCUAGACGAACUGCCGUUGACAAAACGGAGGAAGGUGGGGAUGACGUCAAAUCAUCAUGCCCCUUAUGUUCUGGGCUACACACGUGCUACAAUGGCCGGUACAGACGGACGCAAAGCCGCGAGGUGGAGCAAAUCCUAAAAAGCCGGUCUCAGUUCGGAUUGCAGGCUGCAAUUCGCCUGCAUGAAGUCGGAAUCGCUAGUAAUCGCAGGUCAGCAUACUGCGGUGAAUACGUUCCCGGGCCUU
rnacentral:rRNA from 1 species